rnacentral:rRNA from 1 species
AUUGAACGCUGGCGGCAGGCCUAACACAUGCAAGUCGAGCGAGCGGCGGACGGGGGAGUAAUGUCUGGGAAACUGCCUCAUGGAGGGGGAUAACUACUGGAAACAGUAUAUAAUACCGCAUACCAUCAGAUAUGCCCCGAUGGGAUUAUCUAGUGUGUGGGGUAACGGCGCACCUAGGCGAGGAGCCCUAUCGGGUCUGAGAGGAGGACCGGCAACACUGGAACUGAGAAACGGUCCAGACUCCUACGGGAGGCAGCAGUGGGGAAUAUUGCACAAUGGGCGCAAGCCUGAUGCAGCCAUGCCGCGGGUGUGAAGAAGGCCUUCGGGUUGUAAAGCACUUUCAGCGGGGAGGCGUUACCCGAAGAAGAAGCACCGGCUAACUCCGUGCCAGCAGCCGCGGUAAUUC